CUUUGAUUCCACACAGCUUGCACUGUAUCUCCAAUAACAAAUCUGUAUUAUUCCUGCAAAAUGAAUAUAUAACUCCAGAUAAGCACAAAAAUAUAUUACAAACAGUAAUUUAACACCUCACUUUUCAAAUGCAAAAAGAAAAAUAGAUUAUAUGCAGUAUUUCUAGAGGGGGUGAUAUUGAACAUUACUGGUGGUUAUAAUAACGAUUAGAUGGAUUAAAUGUAUAUAAAUGUCUUUGAAUGUUACAAGAUCAGAUCUUUGAAUUUAGUUAUGCAAAUUUAACUUUAAGUCAUUUAAAAUGAUUUAAAAAGUCAGAGUUCAAUUAAAACACAUUUUCAGCAGCCAAAUUCUUUGAACACGCCCACACACGCGAUCACAUUCAUAUAAGAAAUUAUUAUAAUGCAAUCAUAAAUAAAUUACAGGAAACAUGAUUAAUUCACCUCCCUAUUACGAUUAAACCAAAUAAGUUACUCUUAAUGGCAACAAGAACUGCUAUGUUACGGUGAAAAAAAUAAAAAUAAAGAAAGCAUAUAUCAAGAUACUUACUUGCCUCUUUAUUUGUAGUACAUAACGUCUCAUCUGUAGUCAUCCAAACAUGCGCUCCUUUAUUUUCUUCUUCUUUGAUCAGCAAAGUUGCCUCACGCAUCGCGAUUACAGAAAGAUGGCUGAAAGUGCAUUUUUCAAACUCUGGUGAAGUAGUGCGCCGUCAUGAUGUAGUAUUUUGGCGCAUGCGCAUUAAACAAACAAACAAAAAAAAAAAGUUUAUAGGCUAUAAUGCGUGCAUGAUUUAAUUUAAGUUGAAGUUUUUCUAAUUCAUUGUUGUAGUUAGACUGUUUACAGAAGUUUACAGAACUUGACUCAUUCACCUAACUAAAAGUCAAUCAUUUUUACAGUUUAGUCUGAUUAAAAUUAAAUGUAUUUUAACUGAAUAUGAAUUCAAAUUAAUUUUGUUUAGAUUUGUUAAACUUUUGCUUGCAAUUAAUGCAAUUAAAUGUUUAAUCGACAUAAUGAUAUUAAAAGUAUUAUACACACUAGUUGAGUUUAGAGCAGGAGCUGGUGAUAAAAAUGUAAACAAUAAGUUGUACUAGAUUAUACUGUAUAAGCAAGUGUAUUGAAAUUCAAAAGAAAGGUGUUGUAUGAGGUUUUGCCGACAGUUUGACUAUACACUGGAGUUAGGUUUAGUAACAAGCACUUAGUAUAAAGUUCAAUUCAAACUCUGGCAUAAAGUAUAGGCAAAAACAAAUAAAUAAAUAAAUAGUAUUUUUUCUAAUCAAACUCUUUUCAGAACAAUAAUGUUAAAGAAGGAACGCAUGAAUGGAAACUUUAAAAUACUGAUUCUGCUCAGAGUGAAUCGAUUGAAUUUUUUUAGUUUUUAAGCCCUGUUCCUAAGCGAAGAAUAUAUUAAGGCCUUUAAAGGUUUAGUAUGUAAUUUUUUUUACUUUACUAAAGCAUAAAACUACCAUAAUAUUUGUGCAGAAAUUUUAGAAACAUGCUAAGUUCGAAUACUUUUUUUUAAAAACAAUGCCAGUUAUUCUACUUUUAAAUGUGCGUUCCGGGGCUGAAUGUCUGUUUUUGUUUUGGACUGUGUGAUCCCGAUUCACUGCCGAUUUACCCAAUAGUAUGUCGACACACCGGGUUGCCAGUUGGUGGAAAACACAGCGUAUUGCAGCCAGGGAAGCCAGCAAACAAACUAGGUCAGAGAUUGCAGAAUCUACCUGACCGAAAAACCCUCUGCAAUAAAAAAAAAAAACAAAAAAAACAUGGCAAAUGUAUACAUUAGUUGAUCAACUUACAAAGUAAGGCUUGUCGUUUUCCAUUGUCAUUUGCUCUCAUUCCUGUUGAGCUCCUCAAUCUGGCAAACCAUGUGAGAGUCGAGUCUGAGGAGGGGGUGGGGGAAACAACUCUCUCCAAUAUUUUGACUAUGGACUGCAGUAUCCAUUUCAACCACUAGUAGCCAAUAUUACAUACUGUACCUUUAAACAGUAUUUGUUUUUUCUCUCCUCAGUUUGGAUUAUGGAGGAAAUUUCAGAAUAACACCAGGACUGCAGAAAUAUGCAUGCAAUCUCACACUGGAUCCAAACACAGCACACACUUGUCUCUCGCUGUCUAACGGGAACAAAAAAACAACAUAUUAUCUAACUGCUGUUAGUGAAAGAUUACUGACACACAUGAAGGACACAAAAUUUAUACCUGAAG